rnacentral:pre_miRNA from 1 species
UAAAAGUUAACUUUGUAUAGAGUUGGAACCUUUACCUACGUUUGGUGCUAGGGACGCUGUUCCAAUUGCAUACAAAUUCGAGUUA